rnacentral:rRNA from 1 species
GACAGAGGGUGCAAACGUUGUUCGGAAUUACUGGGCGUAAAGCGCGUGUAGGCUGCUCGGAAAGUCGGAUGUGAAAGCCCUGGGCUCAACCUAGGAAGUGCAUUCGAAACUUCCGAGCUGGAGUACUGGAGAGGAAGGCGGAAUUCUCAGUGUAGAGGUGAAAUUCGUAGAUAUCGAGAGGAACACCGGUGGCGAAGGCGGCCUUCUGGACAGUAACUGACGCUGAGACGCGAAAGCGUGGGGAGCAAACAGG